ensembl:lncRNA
UUUCAUCUUGGGAACCAAGCCCCCUAAGCUGAACUCCUGUAAAGAGACCUUCUGACAUCACUGCAACUCUUUCUGAGAGGAGGAAUCAGCCACAAGGAAGCUAGAACUGAACAUACUUUCUGGUAGCACUGGGUUUGCAUUUAUACAUUUGGGAAAAAAAUAGCUGCUUUGGAAGACUUAUGCCUGAAAAUGAUCCUGACUCAAAUUUACUGGACAUUUGGAAAAAAAUCAUAUUAGACUCUGUUCCUUUGUCCUUCUUUGUGCUGUUCAUUUUCAGCUAGUUUAUAUUUCCAGAAAAAGAGAUUAUCAGAUUUCAGCUCUAUCUCUUCCUUCCAUCAAUCACACUCUCAAUUUCUACCUCGCACAUUCACUGCUUGGACCGUUGUUUAUACAUCUUGCUCCUUAUGUCUGAAUUACUUUCAACAUUACUUUUUGUUUGACAACGACAGGUAGGAUUCAUCCUAUCCUAUAGAAACAACUUUGAGCUCAAAAUAGUGGUAUUUUCAUACCUCAGAUAAUGUUUACACAAAAUAGAUUAAAAAAUAAGAAAAAAAUACUUGUGUUUUAAUGUGCACACAUGUAUAAAAACCUAUCAUAAUAAUAGAGGUGGAAGAAAGAAGAAAAAGAGGCUUUGUUGAAACCUUGGUUCCUCCCUUAAUAUUCACACAGUCUUCAGUGUUUUAGACUCUGCUUCAAUAACUGAAAAUAAAAACAAUAAGAACAAGCAGAAAAAUUUCCUCUUGGAAUAAUGAAGGCAUAAAGCAAAUAAGUGUCUGAAAAAAAAACAUUUUUCAGGAUAACGAUUACUUCAGCAUGGACAUAUAAAUAAUUGCCUUUGAAUCAAAGGUAUAAGAGGUUUCUUAAUGGUCACCUGCAAAAUCUGAUAAAAAUCAUUUGCUGUCUGACUGUCAAAUCUUUUAAUAUUGGACAAUAUAAUUAUAUCUGAAUUGCUACUGCAAACUUUUUUUUUUUUUAUAAAAAACAAACACUUGUCUUUUUUUAUGUCAGUUGUUUGAAAUCUGAGGGGCGACGAUUUUGACAGCUCACUAGAAUUAAAUUUUCUUUGAGGUGUCCACUUCACAAUUUUGUCAUUCUUUUCUUGAUCAGGCAAACUGAUAAGCUAAUACACCAUUAAAAUAAGUUUACACACUACUUGGGCCUGUUUUUAAAAAUGAAGUAGAAGGACUGUAGAGCAAAAUAAACAUGUUUUAAUAAUGAGAAUAACUGCUCAAAAAUAAUGAUAUCAAUGCAUGUUUUGUACUGGAAACUUUCUGGAGGUGGUAAUGUUGUGAACUCAGAUGAAAGGAAAUAAAAAGAAAACUUAAAAACUUGCUUUUUCCUAUAAAAUUCUUAUUCCUACCCAACAGUUGAAAGCUUGCUGUGGUGUUCCUGAUAUGCUCUAACAAGUGCCAGGUUCACAAUGAAGACUGGAAAGUACACAUGGUUACACAAAAACAGAAUAAAGGUGUGAUGAGGACAAGUUGAAAGCAGCAGAAGAGACUACAGGUGAAUAAGCAAAGGUCAGUAAUACAAGAAAUGAGAUUGUAUUGUUCUGAUAGCCAAAAGAGGGGUUAUGUCACUGACAUGAAGGUUGUAGAUCAGAAAAUGAAAUUCCAUUUGCGUUUCCCAAUAGGAAGGACUAAAUGAUAACGGAUAUGACUUUCUGUCCAGGAGAUGGGACUCCUAAAUGUAGGAGAUCAUCAGGUCUCUAUCCCUGGGGCUCAUCUGCUUUGGAACUUACAACAGGAAGAGAGCCAAGUAUUUGGUCAUUAUCAGUGAUUUAUGAAACCCACAUUUUUUUUCCAGUUCAUCUCUGUUUGAUUUCUCUUCUUGCAAUGAAAUCACAGUCUUUUACCACUAACCUGCCUGUGUAAUUAUCAGGUUAUGAAAACAGACUAUAGAUGAAAGUGAAAUGGAAAAAGAGAAAUAAAUGUGCUGGUUGCAUAAGUGCUGUCAACAAAUAACUGAUAGUUUUCAUUUUUACCAGAAAAAAAAAAUAAUGCAAAAGGCUCCCCCACUGUGUGAAGAGUGUUCUUUAAAAAAGUUUGCUAAUUUUAGCAUCGCCUAUAUCAGGAAUUCUAUUAUGUUUCUAUUUACUACUUGUCAAGAAAUAUAAUACAAAGAUGAAUUUUCAUUCCAUUACUUUUUUUUGUCUCAUUACAUAUUGUUUACAAACAAAUUAUACAGUACAACCUUUUUAUAAGAAGACUUAAUCCCAAAGAAGAUAUAAAGCAUGCAUAGACUAAAUAUACAGCAGUUUUGUAUGAAGUUGCAAAUACUGACAAGUAUACUUGAAUAUCUUGAAAACAGAAGGCAAACAUAAAUAAUCUUGGUCAUGUUAUUAGUGUUUGUAGCAAUUGGACAGAUCAAAAUGAUGGGAAAAGGUGUUUCACCAGAGGUGUAAUGACAGAAGGAUCAGCACAAUAUAAAGGUGCUCUAAAGGAACAGAAGAAGAUUGCUUAUCCAUAUCAGAUUUCAGGUUUACAGGGAAAAAGCUCCAACAAGGAGGGAUUUCCAGAAAGAGAUCACUCCCCAGUGCCAGUCAGCCCUUAAAUGGGAUCUAGGAGAGUUGGAGCCAGGCUCCACCCCUUCUGGUCACACAGAUUAAUUGCCUUCACCUGUGCUCUCAGGGCUGACCUGGUCCUUUCCCCAGGUGAUCAAUCAGUGGUUCAGGCUGUGACUCAACAGUUACCAUGCAGUGUCAUUUUGCAGAGCAGAACUGUAUUUCAGAAGAAGCCUUCUCGAUACCUGGUGGACAAUUUGGAGGAAAAGAAAAAAAGGAAUAUUUAUUGUUACAAAAGAAGUUUCACUUAUUGCAAAUAUUCUCCAAGUAACAUACACUUUCUUCCGUCUAUUUUUCCAUUAAAUUAAGCAUAUUAUUCUUUCAGUUGCACCUCUACCUACCUAAACACUGUUUCAGUGAUUCAGCACCAAGAGUAGAUAAAGUGAUAUGGACUUAAACACUAAUUUGCUGCCAUCUCAGUUCAUACUGCAUUACUAGGCAUUAGAUACACAGCCAUGAGGAAGUAGGAACCUUUAGGUGGAAUUCAGCAUGACAUGAGGUUGAAAAGACUGGGAUAGAAAUGGAAGAGCCAACAAAAACUCUUAUUUUUCUGCAUUUUUCAGCUAAACUAAUAUCUUGGGACCACUAGAAAAUCAAAGGUAAUCAUUAGAUAUGAAAGCAAAACAUGAACAUCUGGAUUAAAUAUUGAUACACACAGACGACCAGGAUAAAAUUUUCAUUACUUGUAAAGGAGCCGAUAUAUUACCUUGGUGUUCAUGCUUUGUGGAGAAGAAUUGUUGUGGCAAUGUGUUCUGUAUUAUAUGGAUAACUAAUGUGAUAUGGGUCAAGGAAUUGCUCUAUGUUGUACUUAGACAAUAACAGAAGUUUUUGGACUGAAAAUCGAUGUAAGAAGGACCAGAUUUACAAUUGCAUAAAGACAGAAAUGAUUUGAGAUCUGUGCCCAUUUCUGAAUCUGUUUUCAGCCUUGAGCUGCUCUACUUCUUUCUCUUGUUUUGACAUUUUCUCUUGGGGAUUGCCAUAAAUUAGAUAUCCUGGUGUUAAUUUUAGCCAAAGGACAUGAGAAAAGAUGUAAAUUGUCAUGAAGUAGGUAAUUAUGCCUCAUGUAUUCCCUGAUUAUUCCUUUUUAAUUGAAUGGUCUAGCUGAAGGAAAGACUGUAGUAAAUGGAAUAAAAAACCAUAAUACUCUGCACAUGUAUUUACACUUUGCAUCUUUGAAGUGUUACAGAAAUUAGCUAAUCAAUAUAACAAAGUUUCAAAUGCCUUUUUUUGUUGUUGUUGUUAUGGGACAUAUUAAUGAAAGAGAGUGUCAGCACAGAAAUAUUGGAAAUAAUAGAAAAUGAUGUGAAGAUCUCAUGUAAAGUCAGCGUGGAAUAAACAUUCUCUGGGUUAUUUUUGGUUUUGUUUCAAUUUAGCUAACAAAAAUUCCCAAGCAAACAAAUACGAAUCCAGAGCACUCAUGUAUUAUAUGGAAAGGAACAUGCAGGUUUGAUGUCAGUAUUAAGAACACAGAUCAUUCACUGUUAAUUAUGUUGUUUGUUGCUGUUGUUGUUGUAUUUUUUUGUUAGUUUUGCCUUUAUUAUUUGUUAACUCUUUGUCUAUGUAUCUUUUCUACAAAUUGUCAUUUCUUACUAGGGCCUCAAACCUGGUAUGGGUCAGGAUGUUUUCUUUUCAUUUGGGACCACGAAGGUACCUUAUGUGUACCUUUACACUGCAUCCUGAUAAUUAUUGAAGGGGAAAAUUCUCUGUAGAGAAUUUGUACAGAACUAUUGUGUCAUCAAUAACAUGGGCAACAUACUGUUGCUCUCAUAUAAAAUUCCUGCUUAUGUCAAUGAGAGAUUUGGGCUUAAAUGAAUUAGCAUUCAGUCGGAAACUCUUGCUUUAACUGUUUUCCUGUUCACUAAAUUCCAUACAAGUUUUGUGAUUGUUCAAUAGGCUUCACUGUAGUUUCUGUUCUUUGUCCUGCAUUUAUAUUUUGGACUUUCAAAUUUACCAUAGAAAGCUUCUAUAAAUAUGUAACAACUAUUUCGAUUUUGUCACAUUUAAACCACUUUGUGGUCACUUUGGUAUGCAGAAAGCAGAGUGGACUGCUCUAGCAAUGACUCUAGGCUUGCUUGCAGAAUAAGAAAGUGUAUAUGAGUAAGAAAUUUAGGCUUACGUCCUUAUGUCAGUUGUACAGGCGCUUAUUUAAAUAAAGUCUAUAAUAUCAUUUGCAUUUCUGUGAUUUACCCACUUGAUCCUACACUGUUUGUGUCUUUUAAAAUUGGCCAUCAUUGAAACACAUAUCUGAUAAUGAGUUACACUG